GACGAACGCUGGCGGCGUGCUUAACACAUGCAAGUCGAACGGUAAGGCCUUCGGGUACACGAGUGGCGAACGGGUGAGUAACACGUGGGUGAUCUGCCCCCUACUCUGGGAUAAGCCUGGGAAACUGGGUCUAAUACCGGAUAUGACCUCCUUCUGCAUGGUUGGUGGUGGAAAGUUUUUUCGGUAGGGGAUGAGCCCGCGGCCUAUCAGCUUGUUGGUGGGGUAAUGGCCUACCAAGGCGACGAGGGGUAGCCGGCCUGAGAGGGCGACCGGCCACACUGGUACGGAGACACGGCCCAGACUCCUACGGGAGGCAGCAGUGGGGAAUAUUGCACAAUGGGCGAAAGCCUGAUGCAGCGACGCCGCGUGGGGGAUGACGGCCUUCGGGUUGUAAACCCCUUUCAGUCGGGACGAAGCGAGAGUGACGGUACCGAUAGAAGAAGCACCGGCCAACUACGUGCCAGCCGCCGCGGUAAGAC
rnacentral:rRNA from 1 species